UACGGAGGGUGCAAGCGUUAUCCGGAUUUACUGGGUUUAAAGGGUGUGUAGGCGGACUUUUAAGUCAGCGGUGAAAUCUCCGGGCUCAACCCGGAAACUGCCAUUGAUACUAUUUGUCUUGAAUGUUGUUGAGGUGGGCGGAACGGGUCAUGUAGCGGUGAAAUGCAUAGAUAUGACCCGGAACACCGAUUGCGAAGGCAGCCCACUAAGCAACGAUUGACGCUGAGGCACGAAAGCCAGGGGAGCGAACGGG
rnacentral:rRNA from 1 species